rnacentral:rRNA from 1 species
GACGAACGCUGGCGGCGUGCCUAAUACAUGCAAGUAGGACGCAGUUGCGAACGGGUGAGUAAUGCCUAGUUAACUGCCUAUUAGAGGGGGAUAACUAUUGGAAACGCUAGCUAAUACCGCAUACUAGUAGAUGGACCUGCGUUGUAUUAGCUAGUAGGUUGGGUAAUGGCCUACCUAGGGAACGGUACAUAGCCGACCUGGAAGGGUGGUCGAGCCAACUUGGAAUGGGAAACGGGCCAGAAUCCUUCGGGAGGGAGCAGGAGGGAAACUGCGGCAAAGGGGGGAACCCUGACCGAGGACCGCCGGGGGAUGGAAGAAGGGUUUCGGAGCGUAAAGGUCUGUUGUUAAGGAAGCGGUACUUAACCAGAAAGGGACGGCUAACUACGUGCCAGCAGCCGCGGUAAUAC